UGGUUCUACGGGACGCAGCAGUGAGGAAUAUUGGUCAAUGGCCGAGAGGCUGAACCAGCCAAGUCGCGUGAGGGAAGACGGCCCUACGGGUUGUAAACCUCUUUUGUCGGGGAGCAAAGAGAGUCACGUGUGACUCAUUGAGAGUACCCGAAGAAAAAGCAUCGGCUAACUCCGUGCCAGCAGCCGCGGUAAUACGGAGGAUGCGAGCGUUAUCCGGAUUUAUUGGGUUUAAAGGGUGCGUAGGCGGAGUGUCAAGUCAGCGGUAAAAUUUCGGGGCCCAACCCCGUCGUGCCGUUGAAACUGAC
rnacentral:rRNA from 1 species